CCCUCUUCCUGCAACAAAUGGCGACUCUGGCGGGGACUCUUCUUUGCUGAGACUGACCACUCGGGGUACUUAGGGGCCAGCCUGCCUGCCAAUGGACGAGACCCAGCGGCCACAACUGGGACCCUUUUGUCCCUGGUCUCCUCCUGAUGUGGACAACUGGCCAGAGUGCCCCGACCGGAGUCUUUUCAAUGAACUAGAGAAAGGAAAGCACAUCUUCCCAUUUAGAAGUCCACAUUCCCAUGGGCGGAAUAUUUUACAGGUAGGUCUACAGAUUUGGAAUUAGGGUAACUGGACCUAGAGAAGGUGGGCAUGAGACAAAUAGCUGAGAAACAUCUCUCAACCUAGAAAAAAUUAAGGACCAACCUGAGUUGCUGGAUAUUUUAAAUGGAACUGUUAUUGAAUCAGGUCCUGUUAUUUGCCAUUUACAAAAUCAAACUCACAAAUGAUAGAAAAAGAAAUUGCUUCUAUCAGAAUACUUACAAUCUUGGGAGAUGGUGGGCUCAUUAUCCCCCCAAAACCAUCUCUAAAUAUUCUGCUUGGCCAUGAAAACUUUUAAAGGGAAACAAGGGCUUAAUCUUAAUUAAUCAUUGAGAUAAAGAGUCAGAGUCAUCACCAUCCCCCACUGUGUGCAG
rnacentral:lncRNA from 1 species